rnacentral:rRNA from 14 species
UUAAAUUGAAGAGUUUGAUCAUGGCUCAGAUUGAACGCUGGCGGCAGGCCUAACACAUGCAAGUCGAACGGUAACAGGAAGCAGCUUGCUGCUUCGCUGACG